rnacentral:rRNA from 1 species
AUUGAACGCUGGCGGCAGGCUUAACACAUGCAAGUCGAGCGGAGAUGAGGUGCUUGCACCUUAUCUUAGCGGCGGACGGGUGAGUAAUGCUUAGGAAUCUGCCUAUUAGUGGGGGACAACAUUCCGAAAGGAAUGCUAAUACCGCAUACGUCCUACGGGAGAAAGCAGGGGAUCUUCGGACCUCGCGCUAAUAGAUGAGCCUAAGUCGGAUUAGCUAGUUGGGGGGGUAAAGGGCCACCAAGGCGACGAUCUGUAGAGGGUCUGAGAGGAUGAUCCGCCACACUGGGACUGAGAAACGGCCCAGACUCCUACGGGAGGCAGCAGUGGGGAAUAUUGGACAAUGGGGGAAACCCUGAUCCAGCCAUGCCGCGUGUGUGAAGAAGGCCUUAUGGUUGUAAAGCACUUUAAGCGAGGAGGAGGCUACUGAGACUAAUACUCUUGGAUAGUGGACGUUACUCGCAGAAUAAGCACCGGCUAACUCUGUGCCAGCCGCCGCCGUAA